rnacentral:rRNA from 1 species
CAGUCGCCACGGGAAUACGGAGGGUGCAAGCGUUAAUCGGAAUUACUGGGCGUAAAGCGCACGCAGGCGGUCUGUCAAGUCUGAUGUGAAAUCCCCGGGCUCAACCUGGGAACUGCAUUCGAAACUGGCAGGCUAGAGUCUUGUAGAGGGGGGUAGAAUUCCAGGUGUAGCGGUGAAAUGCGUAGAGAUCUGGAGUAAUACCGGUGGCGAAGGCGGCCCCCUGGACAAAGACUGACGCUCAGGUGCGAAAGCGUGGGGAGCAAACAGGAUUAGAUACCCCUGUAGUCCCUGUCUCUUAUAC